CCAGGUGCAAGAUUUAUGAAGUGCUUAUGAGGUUAAUCGGGAACAGACUCAGAGGAAAAAGGAAAGAAGUCAAAAAACAAACACCUUUAUUCUCACUUUAACAAAAUCUAAAGAAGAAUGAGAGGGUUUUUUUUUUGUUGUUUUUUUUUUUUUUUUUUGGUCAAAAUAAUACCUUAGAUGACUUUUGCAUGGACAAAGGGAGUAUUUUAAGCACUCGAUGCUCAUAUGCUGGUUCCCUUUUACGUGCAAACAGUGACCACACAUCCAGAAGGUCAAGUAGCCCAUGAUUGGGGAAUCAUCUAAAAAUACUUAUGCGCUUCUUGGACCAUUCAGUAUGCAGACCUUUCGGACAUGUUUCUUCCUAACCCUCACUCUGCUGCUAUUUCCCGGAAGAUGGGUGGAUGAUGAUAGUCAUUAAGUGAUGUCACCAGCGCGGGGCGUCUCUCAAGGCUCUGGAAAGAACACAAGUGCAAGCUGGAGGCUAAAGGAGGAGCAGGGAGGCCAGGCCAUCCUUUCAGCGGGAAGAGUGAGUACAAACACACCCAGGGCUGGUCAGCCAACUUCUUCCUUGUCAUGUUCCAAUCCCUUUCGGCUCAUCCCGGCUCGGGGGACGCAGAAUCACCGAACAAGAAGCGGUCGGCUUUCCCUUUCUGAUUGAAAAGUCAUUUUUGAAGCAUUUCAUUAAGAAAUGGUAGAGGAAACCUCAACCCUCAUGAAACAGGACAGCAAGCGCUUAAGACCUUCUCAUCAUGAGAAACGCUGCGGCCAGAGUCACUCAGAUGUAAACUUAAAGGUCAGUUCUUCACCAAGGAGGCUCUGUAACAGUUUGGAAAAACGUGACCGUGACGCUGCCCGAAGCCAGCUCGGGAUCCUCGCUCUCGGCUUCAGGAGGAGAGACGAAAGCACGGAGGGGAGGGCCCCUGCAUCAUGGCGAAGGGACUUGGCGUUAGGAUCAUGUGGUUCCAGAAGCCAUGCCGUCACCCCUGACCUCUUCCUGCCUCCCCGAUGCCAUCACUAGAGUAUCUAGAAUUAACCAAGCACCUGUUGGCCCAGCAC
rnacentral:lncRNA from 1 species